GCCAAAAAAAGGUAAAGGAACGUAUAAUGCACGCGAUUACCAAACCCUCUUAAAACGGAGACAAGGAUUGGGGUUUACAUGUGAAUUAGGAAUUAAUAAAAAUGGAUUCUUCUUCUUCUUCUUCUUCUUCUUCUUCUGCUUCGUUUAACUCAUUCUUGAUUCGCAUCCGAGCUUCCGCCAAUUCGUUCCUUUCACAAUUCGAACCUCUGGCUCUGCUCUUCGCCCCUCUCCUUACUCUCCUCGUCGCGCGUGUACUUGAGUCGUUUCUUUCCGUUAUUCACGAGAAAGGCCUCAAAGCUACGCUUCUAGGUUUUUUCAUGAGCUCUAUCAAGCUGGUUCCUGGUGUUAAGAGUUAUAUUGAUGCGGAGAAACAGAAGGUUGUGGAUAAGUUACAAUCUGGUAGCAAAUCCAAUAGAGAACACUGGAGGAUGGAGUUGCCAACCACAGGUUUAGGAGUAGGUGUUAUAGAGGAAAUGAAAGAUGAAAAGGGCAAGGAUGCUGAUUGGCAAGGAAAAUGCUCUGGUACAGUCUACAUUGGUGGAAAUGAAUCUGAAGGGCAUUUUUCUUUGAUCAACGAGGCAUGUUCAAUGUUUGCUCAUACCAAUCCAUUACAUUUGGAUGUGUUCCAAAGUGUGGCACGAUUUGAGGCUGAAGUGGUUGCUAUGACAGCUGCUUUGCUUAGCAGUAAAGAGAAGGCUUCUGGUGGAGAAGUAUGCGGAAACAUGACAUCAGGAGGAACCGAGAGUAUAUUAUUAGCUGUGAAAACGUCUCGGGAUUAUAUGAAGAUGAAGAAGGGGAUUACAAGGCCAGAAAUGAUAAUAGCUGAAUCUGCACAUUCGGCAUAUGACAAGGCAGCGCAAUAUUUUAACAUCAAGCUGCAUCGUGUUCCUGUCAAUAAGGAAUUUCAAGCAGAUGUGAAAGCAAUAGCGCAAUAUAUUAACAGAAACACAAUCUUGAUUGUUGGAUCUGCACCUGGGUUUCCUCAUGGCAUCAUUGACCCUAUUGAGGAGCUUGGUAAAUUGGGUUAUAGAUAUGGAAUUUGUUUACAUGUUGACCUUUGUCUUGGUGGCUUUGUAUUGCCUUUUGCUCGUAAACUUGGGUACCCAAUUCCAUCUUUUGAUUUCACUAUUAUGGGAGUAACUUCAAUGUCAGUGGAUGUGCAUAAAUAUGGGCUGGCUCCUAAAGGAACAAGUGUAGUUCUGUACAGAAAUCAUGACAUUAGAAAGCAUCAAUUUGUUGCUGUUACUGAGUGGUCAGGUGGGCUUUAUGUUUCUCCAACAAUAGCUGGAAGCAGGCCUGGAGGAUUGAUUGCUGGAGCUUGGGCAGCAAUGAUGUCUCUGGGACAAGAAGGUUACUUGGAGAAUACAAGAAAGAUCAUGGAAGUAUCGAAGAUGAUACAGAAAGGGAUAAAGGAGAUUCCUGAGUUGUUUAUCAUUGGAAAGCCAGACAUGACAAUUGUGGCAAUUGGAUCUGCUGUUCUGGACAUAUUUGAAGUCAAUGAUAUCAUGUCUCGCAAAGGUUGGCAUUUGAAUGCCUUACAGAGACCCAACAGCAUUCAUAUAUGUAUCACUCUUCAACAUGUGCCAGUUGUUAAUGCCUUCCUCCAGGACUUGAGGGAAGCUGUAAAAACUGUGAAAGAAAAUCCAGGCCCUAUAAGUGGAGGCCUAGCACCCAUAUACGGUGCAGCGGGAAGGAUGCCAGAUAGAGGCAUGGUUCAAGAAUUGUUGGUAAAUUACAUGGAUGGUAUAUGCUAGGAUAUGUCAUAGCCUCAUAGCUUGCCAUCACCCAUACCAUACUUCUUGGGAAAUUGACCAUUUGACUACAAAGGAAAAACUGACAACGAAACCGGACAGAGAAGAAGCAAACCAGAAACAAUGGCCACUCAAUCCUUUUUCCAGGAUGACACUUACCAAUGGCAAAAUCCUUGAAUGGUUCACUGCUAUUUUGGCGGAACUUGCGGUGCAUCCAACCAAGUAACUGCAUCCAAAAGAGAAAAUUUCAGCCCAUAGAAUGAGGAAGAUCACUUUCACCAGGCAUAACCGAAAGGUGUAUACCUUCAUCUCCACUCUCUUUAGGAUAUCAACUUUGACCAGUUGUUGUGUAUGGUGUGUGGGGUGGGUAUCUACUUAACCAUUAGAUGAUGAACUGUUUAUGAAUGUGAAAUAAAUUAGGCCUUUGAAGCCUUCUAUCAUCUGAGAUAAAGAUGGCUGGAGAGAAACACAGAGAUCAUUACAAGAUUUGGGUUGGCUAUUAAUUAUCAAGAUCACAUCAUGUAGCCAAAUGGAGAGUGGGUCCUCCGCACCAGGAGACCAAAAUUCUAUAUAAGCCAUCCACUCAUGUUCAUAUUCAUCGCGGGUUACAGGGUUUAUGACUUUUUCCUUUCUUUCUUUUCAUUGUUUCUUAUUUAUUUAUUUGUUUGCAUGAUUUGUCAUACUUAAAAAUCUUUAUUAUGGUGGCAUGUAUGAAUCACUCACAUGUCCAUUAAAUCUGUAAGUUAAGAUGCCACAUUCUACAGAUCAUCAAGUUGAAGUAUGCCAUGUUGUAAGUUACCACUGUUUCCAACAUGUAAAUCUGCAUGCACCUUUUUGGUUUGGAUUUUGAUGAAUUAAUUAUCAUUAUUACAAUAAUUGGUUUACUUGGUAUUUGGUGGAAGAACCUGGCUUUACUAGUGGGGGCUGCGGAGACUAUUUUGUCAGAUUUACUAGUGGGGGCUGCGGAGACUAUUUUGUCAGAUUUCAUUGUGUUCAAAUGUAAUAUGACAAUAGAAUAUCUUUUCUCAUUGUGGAUUCAAAAAGAACAUCUGCCUGAUGCUCCUUGGUGGUCCGCUACUGUGAGGGGUUUUCUAACUGAAUGACCAUCGUGUGAUAGAAAAGAAUAAAUGAUAAUUUACUCAAAUAAAUAUCUUCAUAUACAAUACAUUACAAUAAUGUUGAAGUUGCUUAAAGAAUUUCAAUUUGCAGUCACCAAUUGGAUCCACUUGAUAUUCCCGAUAUUCUAGUUAAUUCUAUUAUUUUGGAACAUAGAAAACAUGCAUUUAGCUUUUAACCACAACAGGUAUGACUAAAAUCUAACUCUUCACCUACACAUUUCUUCACAUGUUAUGUUUCAUAAAUCUAGUUGCAUUUAAUAUAUUGUUAAUUUGCCACUGUAUAUGACUAACCUCUCAUAAUCAGAUUUUACUUCUGCAUGGUGAUUACUAAUAACAAUUCUCCAUUAUCUACUUUCAAGCAUAGCCAAAUAACGACCAUUAACAAAAGUUCAUGGCUUGUGAUCUCAAUACUUCCCAGUUCUAUGGAAUGUUGAAGUUGCUUUCAUUCUUAGCCAGUCUUGUACAGAUUCGCUGUCAUUACCAUUAUAAUAUGUAUUUCUGCAGGCCUCAUCAAGUUCAUGACUGUUGACCUCAAAAAAAAUCAGUGUAUCUUGCUAGCUACUUUGUUAUGACUGUGCUGAAAAACAAUAAAGGGUUUAUCACUGAGAGACAAAUGUAGUAAAGCCAUUUUUGGUGAACGAGUACAAAUAUCAUAGAUGUUGAGUAGCAAAUUAUGAUACCCGCAACUACUGGUAAAUCUUUGCGAAACCUUUAAUUAACAACUGCGAUAACAAUAUUUGUGAAUUAUGUUCUAGUAGAGGUUCCUUAUCUGUAGCCUCUAAUUUUGUAAAGCUCAUCUAUAGAUAGAUUUUCAUAGCAUGCUUUAACAGUACUUGCAUCUUCUGGAUUGCCUGAAUGAGUAACUGUGAAAGAGAAACUAAUGUCUAACAUUACUUUGCUCUUCCAUGCUUAUUAGUGAAUGCUUGUUCUAAAUUUAUUACCUUGUGACUGCUAUUUUAAAUGUUUUUAAUCAUUGAUUAUCUCCUGCAGUUAAUUCAUAUAAUUUCCUUAAAAAAAUGAAUAGUCAUGGAGAUGGGAAAAAACUGCUCUUUGAUGUUCCAAUAUCUGGAUGUGUGUCUCUACAAGAUCAUUUUCAUUGAAAUUUAAUCUCUAAAUUCCAUGAUUUCUACAUAAAGUACCUUGACAUUUUAAAUAUAUGAAGGAUGCAGUAAAAGGAGCAAACAUAGAGAUGUAUUAUCGUUCGAUAUUUGUGGCCCUUCAUUUUGUUUCUAUUUUUAUGAUGCUUUAAUCAACGACUUUCACUCUUCUUCAAAGGAAGGAGCAAGAGAUAUGGGUGCUUGGACCAUGUAGUAUGGUAUCAUCUAUAGAUUUUGAUGAUACUUGUGAAUCCUUCUUCUGUCUAAACAUGCAACAAUUUUUCAAAAAUAAAUCUAAAUACAAUGAUGAUCACAUAUGAUCUGCUUAGGUACUGGUCUUCUUGAGUUUUUGAUGCAGUGCUCCCACAAGUGAUGGUUCUCUUCUACUUGCAGAUUUGUUGUGCUGCUCUUAAGUUGUUGAUAUAACAGGCUGGUUGGUAUGAAUUUGAUGGUGUAUCAAGUAAACAUGAAAGAAAAUGGUGUGAGGAAGUCAUAGAUGAUUAUAAUGAGAUAAAAUCUCUGAAAGAGGCAGGACAAUCAAAACAAUGAAUUAAAAUACGAAGUUGGUGCUGAAACUGCACUGUCCAGGCAGGUGUAGAACUCUGCAAUAUGGAAAUUCUAAGAAAUCAGAAGAAACUGGAAGGCACAUUAUUAGUUUGAAACUGGUUAGCAGGUUAGGUGUGGAUCAGUUCUUUCUUGAUUGAAACUUCAAUAUCUUACCUGCAUUUCAGUUUUGGUUUCGACAUUGCUAGCUCUAUGUUAAGGGCCAAGGUUUUAAUAUCUUUUAAUCAAAAUUUCAGUAAUGCUCAUAGUGAAAGGUAUUUCCUUCUUCAUGUGGCUGUCCUAGUACUUCCUUUUUUGCUGUACAAGAGAGAGUAUGUGAUACAGCAUCCAAAUUACUGAUAAAACUAUUGCAAACUCAGAAUAGUAACGAAAAUGAAUUAAUUGAUAUUUAGAAGCUGGAAAUGAAUGUAAGAUAUUUUGGUUGUGAUUGAAUAAUAUUGUUCUAUAUAAUUAAUUGUUUAAGAAAUAUAGAAAAUUUGAGUUUGUAGUAGCUUCUCUUUUUAUGACUAGUAUAGCAACUACUUAAUCACAAGAUGUUCCAUUGAAUAGAUGAACUCAUGGAAUGGUGUUGAUAAGAACAAUAGAGGGUGUUCAAGUGUUGAAUACUUCCUAAAUGACUUGGUCUACUAGCUGUUGAUGGUGUUUCCUGCAUGGUUAUAUACUUAUAUUUGUAUAGAGUAUAGAGUAAUUAUAUGUAUGUUUGUGCAGCUUUAGUGGUUCCAGGUUUUAAAUCAACUUUGAAAGUCAUCAGCCCCUAAUUCAAUAGGAUAACUAAUAUGUAAUUUCCCUUCUUUUUCAUUUUCCUUUUGGUCGUAUUGGGAGUGUUGUGUUUGAUAUGGUCAUGCACAAGAACAAUUACCUACACUGACAAAAUAAAAUACUCCGGAAAUGAAAAAUGGUUCUGACAGAACGAAAUGGUAUGUUAGGUAACCGUGUUAAGAAAUGAUCAUAUACUACACGUGUAGGUUCAGGCGAAAUUCUGUGCUAUCCCGUUUUGCAUAGCCAACAUGAAACUAGAAUACAAUCUGUUGGGACAAUUUCAUGCCUCAAACAUGAUGGAAACUGACAGCUUGGAAGACGCUAAAAGGUUUUCUCAUCCCUGUUUGACCUAUUGUUUUCUAUAUUGAAUCUGAAUGCAUAGACCCCUGCUGCAAUGUGAAUUCAUGGUGGAUAUAUUGUUAUGGUAUAUUUGUCACAAAACUAAUUUACUCUCCAUUUUUUCUAGCUUUACUAAAGGUGGGUCUGUAGUUUCUCUCUUUGUUAAAUAGAAGAUUCUUGUAACCAAAACAGUGGAGAAUCAAUCAAAUAGAUAGUGUCAAGCAAGCGGUGCAUAUGGUGAAUCAGGAUAACUCAACACUGUUGAAUUGGUGUUCAGUGAUGUUGAUUCUGUACUAUGAUUGAUUUUGAUCCUCAAUAAUCCAAAUGUGGUAUGUCCUUAUGAUCCUCUGCUUCUCCUGUGGAUCGUAGAAACAGGUGAAUUGCUGCCACAUACUUGUAUGGUCAUGGAUUGGGCAAAGGGUGCCGCCAUUUCUGACUUGUAUUUGGUAAUCAAUUAAGAGACAACCCAUGCUUUAUAUCAUUAUAGUGCAAAAGACUUUCUAUUUGGUUUUUCAUGCUCAUUUUGUCCUGGAAUAUGUUAAACUACUGCACAGACAAACUGCCCCAAAAUCUGGAUGGAUGGUUUAAAAGCUCAAAGAAAUAUACUGUUAAGACAUUUCUUCAUGCUUGUGUGAUCAAACUUUGUUAUAGUACAAGGAGAACAAGUAAGGUUUUAUACAUUUUUAAGUAUUCAGGUUGCUAGUUUCCUUUGAUGGGUCCUAUUCCUUAGGUUAAAGUUUCUCUCGCCUUUUGCAUUAUUUCUAAAAUGAGGUUACGGCUGCCUGUUUUGACUAAGCAUUGAUACAGGAUGCUGCUAACAUCAUGCAUUCAAUGUAUCUAAUUUAAUUUUUAAACUCUUCAUGUUAAAGCUUAAAAGUGACGAACAGCAAAAGGUUAGAAAAUAUGUCGGUCAAUGCUACAAGCUCUUAGGGAGUUUGAUUGCAACUUUAAUAUUUUAAUUCUAUAAUUUGAUUUACUACCUGCCAAAAGCUAACUGACAAUUUCCUUGGGGAAAUUUCUGUUCAUCCAGAAUGUAAGUAUUCACUGACUCAGCAGUUGCUUCUUCAUGCCAAGAACAAGCACUUGAGUAUUUUAACUCUCUUUAUUUUACCUGUUCUUCAGCACAUUACUCUUCCUCUGUUGCAAUUGUAAUUUGCUCAGCAUCUCAUAAGUCACAUAUGGGUCUUGUUGUCAGUUUCAUUACCAUUAAUAUCACGGGUCCCACCUCUUUUUUCACUUCUGAUUACAUGAUAAUAUUUUGAUCUACUAUUGAUUUUUAUAUGUCAUGUUUGAUAAUAUUUUGAUCUACUAUUGAUUUUUAUAUGUCAUGUUUAAUCUGGAGCCAACUGCAUUGACAACAAAUACAUGCAAGUUCUAAGAUCAACCUCAAGCCUGCAUUUGGAGCAUAUGACAUUGUUGGUAAGGCUAAGCUGGGAUGUGAAAAAAUGGAGGUGCUACGGGAGUGGAGGAUAAAAAAUAACAGUCAUUGUGCUGGGGCACUAUCGGCAUCGGAUACUCGAGGUUCAUCUUCAAUUUAACUUUGAGUUGCAGUACAGGUGCUAAAUUGUGGAAUUUCCAAGCACAACUUUUUCUUUUCCUGUGGAACCUAAACAAAUUUUAUGCCUUGCUUUAACGGUUAAGUCUGCACUUUCCCUU